rnacentral:tRNA from 1 species
GCUGGUGUGGCUCAGUGGAUAGAGCGUCAGCCUGUGGACUGAGGGGUCCCAGGUUCGAUUCCGGCCAAGGGCA